AUGGGCAGGGUGAAGGUGCAGUAACAUGCACUGGAGGCCCGAACCGUUGCACGUUGAAAAGUGCUCGGAUGACCUGUGCCUAGGGGUGAAAGGCCAAUCAAACUUGCUGAUAGCUGGUUCUCCGCGAAAUCUAUUUAGGUAGAGCGUCGAUCGAAUACUCUCGGGGGUAGAGCACUGACUGGGCUAGGGGUCCUCACCGGAUUACCAAACCUUAUCAAACUCCGAAUACCGAGAAGUACUAAUCGGCAGACACACGGCGGGUGCUAACGUCCGUCGUGGAGAGGGAAACAACCCUGACCACCAAUUAAGGUCCCCAAAUAAUGGCUAAGUGUGAAAGGAUGUGGGAUUGCUUUGACAAUGAGGAGGUUGGCUUAGAAGCAGCCAUCCUUUAAAGAAAGCGUAACAGCUCACUCAUCAAGCGAUCCUGCGCCGAAAAUGUAACGGGGCUAAAGCCAUUUACCGAAAUUGUGGGCUCGUAAGAGCGGUAGCGGAGCGUUCCGUAAGCCUGUGAAGGUAAACCGUAAGGUUUGCUGGAGGUAUCGGAAGUGAGAAUGCUGACAUAAGUAGCGAUAAAGAAUGUGAGAAACAUUCUCGCCGAAAGUCCAAGGGUUCUUGCGUAAAGUUAAUCUGCACAAGGUUAGUCGGCUCCUAAGAUGAGGCUGAAAGGCGUAAUCGAUGGGAAUCAGGUUAAUAUUCCUGAACCUGAAGGAUGUGACGAAAAUAGUAAAUUGUACAGUCUUAUUGGAUUGA
rnacentral:rRNA from 1 species